UUUACACUGCACGACAGUGCGAUAGGGGGAUCCCAAGUGCACAGGCAUAGCGCCUGUGCUUUUCGGUACCCUAAGGCGGUACCAGAAUAAGGGCUGGGCAAGACCGGUGCCAGCCGCCGCGGUAAUACCGGCAGCCCAAGUGAUGGCCGAUCUUAUUGGGCCUAAAGCGUCCGUAGCUGGCCGCGCAAGUCCAUCGGGAAAUCCACCUGCUCAACAGGUGGGCGCCCGGUAGAAACUGCGUGGCUUGGGACCGGAAGGCGCGACGGGUACGUCCGGGGUAGGAGUGAAAUCCCGUAAUCCUGGACGGACCGCCGAUGGCGAAAGCACGUCGCGAGAACGGAUCCGACAGUGAGGGACGAAAGCCAGGGUCUCGAACCGGAUUAGA
rnacentral:rRNA from 1 species